AGUGAACGCUGGCGGUAGGCCUAACACAUGCAAGUCGAACGGCAGCACAGUAAGAGCUUGCUCUUACGGGUGGCGAGUGGCGGACGGGUGAGGAAUACAUCGGAAUCUACUUUUUCGUGGGGGAUAACGUAGGGAAACUUACGCUAAUACCGCAUACGACCUACGGGUGAAAGCAGGGGAUCUUCGGACCUUGCGCGAUUGAAUGAGCCGAUGUCGGAUUAGCUAGUUGGCGGGGUAAAGGCCCACCAAGGCGACGAUCCGUAGCUGGUCUGAGAGGAUGAUCCACCCACCUGGAACUGGGACACGGUCCCGACCCCUACGGGGGGCAGCGGGGGGGAAUAUUGGACAAUGGGGGCAAGCCUGACCCAGCCAUCCCGGGGGGGUGAAGAAGGCCUUCGGGUUGUAAAGCCCUUUUGUUGGGAAAAAAAAGCAGCAGGUUAAAACCCCGCUGUUCUGACGGUACCAAAAGAAUAAGCACCGGCUAAUUUCGU
rnacentral:rRNA from 1 species